rnacentral:rRNA from 1 species
GAUGAACGCUGGCGGCGUGCCUAAUACAUGCAAGUCGAGCGAACGGACGAGAAGCUUGCUUCUCUGAUGUUAGCGGCGGACGGGUGAGUAACACGUGGAUAACCUACCUAUAAGACUGGGAUAACUUCGGGAAACCGGAGCUAAUACCGGAUGAUAUAUUGAACCGCAUGGUUCAAAAGUGAAAGACGGUCUUGCUGUCACUUAUAGAUGGAUCCGCGCUGCAUUAGCUAGUUGGUAAGGUAACGGCUUACCAAGGCAACGAUGCAUAGCCGACCUGAGAGGGUGAUCGGCCACACUGGAACUGAGACACGGUCCAGACUCCUACGGGAGGCAGCAGUAGGGAAUCUUCCGCAAUGGGCGAAAGCCUGACGGAGCAACGCCGCGUGAGUGAUGAAGGUCUUCGGAUCGUAAAACUCUGUUAUUAGGGAAGAACAUAUGUGCAAGUAACUGUGCACAUCUUGACGGUACCUAAUCAGAAAGCCACGGCUAACUACGUG